GUUCUUCUUUCUUUUCACUUUGUUCUUUCACCUCUUUUCCAGCUUCCUUCCGUGUUUCCUUAGAAGCACGGCUGACAUUUGAACCAAACACAAGUUUUCCUUGAGACUGUCGUCGUGUAUUUUCUGAACUAGAUCCCACAGAAUGUUGUCCCCUACCAUUGGCAACAGUUGGUUGCUUGUCUUUGGAUCCCUGUAAAGACUCC
rnacentral:misc_RNA from 1 species